rnacentral:rRNA from 1 species
CCUACGGGGGGCAGCAGUGGGGAAUAUCGGACAAUGGGGGGAACCCUGAUCCAGCCAUGCCGCGUGUGUGAAGAAGGCCCUCGGGUUGUAAAGCACUUUCAGUGAGGAAGAACGCCUGGUGGUUAAUACCCAUCAGGAAAGACAUCACUCACAGAAGAAGCACCGGCUAACUCCGUGCCAGCAGCCGCGGUAAUACGGAGGGUGCGAGCGUUAAUCGGAAUUACUGGGCGUAAAGCGCGCGUAGGUGGCUUGAUAAGCCGGUUGUGAAAGCCCCGGGCUCAACCUGGGAACGGCAUCCGGAACUGUCAAGCUAGAGUGCAGGAGAGGAAGGUAGAAUUCCCGGUGUAGCGGUGAAAUGCGUAGAGAUCGGGAGGAAUACCAGUGGCGAAGGCGGCCUUCUGGACUGACACUGACACUGAGGUGCGAAAGCGUGGGUAGCAAACAGGAUUAGAUACCCCAGUAGUC